rnacentral:lncRNA from 1 species
CUUCUCAUCACCCAAGCUUAAAAUUAGACUUAUGUUUCCAUUUUAGGUCCUCCAUUGUGCAUUACACCUAGGACUAUCAUCCUUCAGUAUUGCUACUUGGCCUCUUCCCACCUUUUCGUCAUAAUUCCUAUCAAAGGGUCCUGCCAUAAUCCCUCUAGGAUUUUUCAGGUUUUUUCUCUUUCAAAUAAAAAUUUUUCAAAUGCUGAAGGAAGUCUACUGUGUGAGGUGUAGAGCAUACUGGAAAGCAUACUUUUCAUAAGAAGGAAAAGAAGAGGCACUUGCUCUUUCAGACUUUGAAUAUUGCUGUGUGAGUAUAAAGGUUU